GUCCUUUUGAGUUUAAUUUAAGGUCUGAUCUGCCCACUGAAAUUUAUUUUAAAUGGCCGCAGUAAUUUGACUGUGCAAAGGUAGCAUAAUAAUUAGUUUUUUAAUUAAAAGCUUGUAUGAAAGGUUGGACGAGGUAAAAUCUGUCUCUAUUUAAAUUAAAUUAGAAUUUAACUUUUAAGUCAAAAGGCUUAAAUUUAUAUAAAAGACGAGAAGACCCUAUAGAUCUUUAUAAUUUAUGUUUUAUUAUUAAUUAUGUAUUUUUAAUAUUUUAUAAUUUAAAUUAUUUUAUUGGGGUAAUAGAAAGAUUUAAUUAAUUCUUUUUUAUUGUAUGCAUUGAUUUAUGUUUAUUGUUGAUCCAAUUUUAUUGAUUAUAAGAUUAAGUUACCUUAGGGAUAACAGCGUAAUUUUUUUAGAGAGUUCAUAUCGAUAAAAAAGUUUGCGACCUCGAUGUUGGAUUAAAAAUUAUUUUAGGUGUAGAAGCUUAGAAAUUUGGUCUGUUCGACCAUUAAAUUUUUACAUGAUCUGAGUUCAGACCGGCGUAAGCCAGGUCGGUUUCUAUCUUUAUUUGAUAAAAAUAUUUUAGUACGAAAGGACCAAGUAUUUAAUAUAUUAAUAUUUGUUUUAUGAAUUCUAUUAAA
rnacentral:rRNA from 1 species